GCCGGGCAUGAUGGCUCAUACCUGUAAUCCCAGCAUUUGGGAGGCCGAGGCGGGCGGAUCACCUGAGGUCAGGAGUUCCUUACAGCCUGGCCAACGUGGUGAAACCCCGUCUCUA
rnacentral:SRP_RNA from 1 species